UACGUAGGGUGCGAGCGUUAAUCGGAAUUACUGGGCGUAAAGGGUGCGCAGGCGGUUAUAUAAGACAGAUGUGAAAUCCCCGGGCCUCAAACCUGGGAACUGCGUUUGUGACUGUAUGACUAGAGUACGGUAGAGAGGGGUGGAAUUCCUGGUGUAGCAGUGAAAUGCGUAGAUAGUCAGGAGGAACUCGAUGGCGAAGGCAGCCCCUGGACCUGUACUGACGCUCAUGCACGAAAGCGUGGGGAGCAAACAGG
rnacentral:rRNA from 1 species